GAUGAACGCUGGCGGCGUGCCUAAUACAUGCGAGUCGAGCGAACAGAUGAGGAGCUUGCUCCUCUGACGUUAGCGGCGGACGGGUGAGUAACACGUGGAUAACCUACCUAUAAGACUGGGAUAACUUCGGGAAACCGGAGCUAAUACCGGAUAAUAUAUUGAACCGCAUGGUUCAAUAGUGAAAGACGGUUUUGCUGUCACUUAUAGAUGGAUCCGCGCCGCAUUAGCUAGUUGGUAAGGUAACGGCUUACCAAGGCAACGAUGCGUAGCCGACCUGAGAGGGUGAUCGGCCACACUGGAACUGAGACACGGUCCAGACUCCUACGGGAGGCAGCAGUAGGGAAUCUUCCGCAAUGGGCGAAAGCCUGACGGAGCAACGCCGCGUGAGUGAUGAAGGUCUUCGGAUCGUAAAACUCUGUUAUUAGGGAAGAACAAAUGUGUAAGUAACUAUGCACGUCUGGACGGUACCUAAGCAGAAAGCCACGGCUAACUACGG
rnacentral:rRNA from 1 species